rnacentral:rRNA from 1 species
CCUACGGGUGGCAGCAGUGGGGAAUAUUGGACAAUGGGCGAAAGCCUGAUCCAGCCAUGCCGCGUGUGUGAAGAAGGCCUUCGGGUUGUAAAGCACUUUCAGUGGGGAAGAAAGCCUUGGGGCUAAUACCCUCGAGGAAGGACAUCACCCACAGAAGAAGCACCGGCUAACUCCGUGCCAGCAGCCGCGGUAAUACGGAGGGUGCGAGCGUUAAUCGGAAUUACUGGGCGUAAAGCGCGCGUAGGCGGUCUGAUAAGCCGGUUGUGAAAGCCCCGGGCUCAACCUGGGAACGGCAUCCGGAACUGUCAGGCUAGAGUGCAGGAGAGGAAGGUAGAAUUCCCGGUGUAGCGGUGAAAUGCGUAGAGAUCGGGAGGAAUACCAGUGGCGAGGGCGGCCUUCUGGACUGACACUGACGCUGAGGUGCGAAAGCGUGGGUAGCAAACAGGAUUAGAUACCCCAGUGUC